GACGAACGCUGGCUGCGUGCUUAACACAUGCAAGUCGAACGCUGAAGCCCCAGCUUGCUGGGGUGGAUGAGUGGCGAACGGGUGAGUAACACGUGAGUAACCUGCCCCUGACUUCGGGAUAAGCCCGGGAAACUGGGUCUAAUACCGGAUACGACUAUCGGACGCAUGUCUGGUGGUGGAAAGUUUUUUCGGUUGGGGAUGGGCUCGCGGCCUAUCAGUUUGUUGGUGUGGUAAUGGCUCACCAAGACGACGACGGGUAGCCGGCCUGAGAGGGCGACCGGCCACACUGGGACUGAGACACGGCCCAGACUCCUACGGGAGGCAGCAGUGGGGAAUAUUGCACAAUGGGGGAAACCCUGAUGCAGCGACGCAGCGUGCGGGAUGACGGCCUUCGGGUUGUAAACCGCUUUCAGCAGGGAAGAAGCCUUCGGGUGACGGUACCUGCAGAAGAAGUACCGGCUAACUACGUG
rnacentral:rRNA from 1 species